CAGUCGCCGCGGUAAUACGUAGGUGGCAAGCGUUGUCCGGAAUUAUUGGGCGUAAAGCGCGCGCAGGCGGAUCGGUCAGUCUGUCUUAAAAGUUCGGGGCUUAACCCCGUGAUGGGAUGGAAACUGCUGAUCUAGAGUAUCGGAGAGGAAAGUGGAAUUCCUAGUGUAGCGGUGAAAUGCGUAGAUAUUAGGAAGAACACCAGUGGCGAAGGCGACUUUCUGGACGAAAGCUGACGCUGAGGCGCGAAAGCCAGGGGAGCGAACGGGAUUAGAUACCCCUGUAGUCCCUGUCUCUUAUACA
rnacentral:rRNA from 1 species